rfam:Gossypium raimondii Chr08_contig_1206, whole genome shotgun sequence.
UGUUAAAAAUUUUAUUUAUUUCUACUGUUAAAACUGGAAUGACUAAUAAAGAUAAUUAAACAUUAACAUAUGAUAUGCCACAUAUACCUCAUGGUUUACAAGAAUCAAUUUUUAAAAGUAAAAAUGGAUGAAAAUUUUAACA